CUAGCGUUGUUCGGAAUUACUGGGCGUAAAGCGCACGUAGGCGGCUUUGCAAGUUAGAGGUGAAAGCCCGGGGCUCAACUCCGGAAUUGCCUUUAAAACUGCAUCGCUAGAAUUGUGGAGAGGUAAGUGGAAUUCCGAGUGUAGAGGUGAAAUUCGUAGAUAUUCGGAAGAACACCAGUGGCGAAGGCGACUUACUGGACACAUAUUGACGCUGAGGUACGAAAGCGUGGGGAGCAAACAGG
rnacentral:rRNA from 1 species